rnacentral:rRNA from 1 species
GAUGAACGCUGGCGGCGUGCCUAAUACAUGCAAGUCGAGCGAACGGACGAGAAGCUUGCUUCUCUGAUGUUAGCGGCGGACGGGUGAGUAACACGUGGAUAACCUACCUAUAAGACUGGGAUAACUUCGGGAAACCGUAGCUAAUACCGGAUAAUAUUUUGAACCGCAUGGUUCAAAAGUGAAAGACGGUCUUGCUGUCACUUAUAGAUGGAUCCGCGCUGCAUUAGCUAGUUGGUAAGGUAACGGCUUACCAAGGCAACGAUGCAUAGCCGACCUGAGAGGAGGGUUGGCCACAGUGGAACAGUAGAACGGUCGAGAAUAGUACGAGGAGGAGCAGUAGAGAAUGGAUCGAGAUGGGCGGAAGCAUGACGGAGCAACGCAGCGUGAAAGAAGAUGGUCUUCGGAUCGUAGAACUCGGUUAUAAGGGAAGAACAAGUAAGUAAGGGGAGGUGCACGUAUUGGCGGGACCAAAUCAGAAAGCAACGGCUAGCUACAGA